rnacentral:rRNA from 1 species
GCUGGCGGCGCGCUUAACACAUGCAAGUCNAGCGAGAACCNUGCCUUCGGGCAUGGGGACAGCGGCGAACGGGUGAGUAACACGUGGGUAAUCUGCCCUUGACAUCGGGAUAGCCCGGGGAAACCCGGACUAAUACCGAAUAGCCUCCGAAGCCCUCGGGCGUCGGAGAAAAGGUAGCUUCGGCCUCUGGUCAAGGAUGAGCCCGCGGCGGAUUAGCUUGUUGGCGGGGUAACGGCCCACCAAGGCGACGAUCCGUAGCUGGUCUGAGAGGACGAUCAGCCACACUGGGACUGAGACACGGCCCAGACUCCUACGGGAGGCAGCAGUGGGGAAUCUUGCGCAAAUGCGGGAAACCGUGACGCAGCGACGCCGCGUGGGGGAAGAAGGCCUUCGGGUUGUAAACCUCUUUCAGGGGGGACGAAGCUACUCGGGUUAAUAGCCCAGAGGGUGACGGUACCUCCAGAAGAAGCCCCGGCUAACUACGUGCCAGCAGCCGCGGUAAUACGUAGGGGGCAAGCGUUGUCCGGAUUUAUUGGGCGUAAAGAGCGUGUAGGCGGCUUGGUAGGUCCGCUGUGAAAACUCGAGGCUCAACCUCG